UUUUGCCUACGGGGGGCAGCAGUGAGGAAUAUUGGUCAAUGGGCGGGAGCCUGAACCAGCCAAGCCGCGUGAAGGAAGAAGGCGCCAAGCGUCGUAAACUUCUUUUGUCGGGGAACAAAGGGCGCCACGUGUGGCGUUGUGAGUGUACCCGAAGAAAAAGCAUCGGCUAACUCCGUGCUAGCAGCCGCGGUAAUACGGAGGGUGCAAGCGUUACUCGGAAUCACUGGGCGUAAAGAGCGCGUAGGCGGGAUAGCAAGUCAGAUGUGAAAUCCUAUGGCU
rnacentral:rRNA from 1 species